rnacentral:lncRNA from 1 species
GGUCAUGGAAGCUGAAGGUUGAAAAAGCAAACAGAAAAAAAAAAACCCCACAUUUUAUCCAGCUUAGAAAUAAGCAGGAAACUCAGAGAACUUGUUCUUGACAAUAAGACCUCAGUAAUAAUACUGAAUAGAAAUUCAACCAAGUGGAUCUGACAGAAGCGAAGGCAGACAUCCAGGAGAUUCUUGUGAUUCAUCCCUCUCUUGACUCCUGGUAUUUGGCUAAUCCUCCUGAAAGUCCCAAGCUUGCAAAUCAGCCCCCGCUACAAGAUCUGUCUCUACACAUCACAGAGAGAAACUGCUUGGCUGUGUAGCCCUGAGAGUUUGGUUCCCAGAAGACAGAUGCUGGUCUCCGAGUUCUGGAACUUUCGACCUGUGUGACCUUGGGCUUCUGAACCUCAGUCUACUCAUCUGCAACAGGAUACUCACUUCACAAGGUCUCUUAAGUUACAAACUUUGCUGAACAUCUAACAUGGACUGGAUAGAUGCUAAUGAGUCUUAGUGUCGGAAACAACUUCAUGAGUCAAAGGAAUGAAGUCAUAAUGCUGCAGGUAAAGAAAAGAAGGGAAGAAAGAAAAAAGCAGAGACAGAGGAGAGGGCUUGGCAAGUCAAAAGGAAGAGAUAAAAGGUGGAGGGACAGAGGACCAGAAGACAAGAAGUGAGGCAUGAGUUAUGAUAUGCAGAAAAGAGAAGACGGAGAGGAAGAAGAGAAACAAGAUUACUGAGUGAGAGGAAGAACAAGGAUUCGAAAGGAAGAUUCUAAUCAGAGAGCAGUUCUUUGGGACAAGAGUGGAGGUAGGAGGAGAAGGUAGAGCAGAGGGGGCAGGUAGG